rnacentral:lncRNA from 1 species
GGAUGAGAAGUAGUAGCAGAGUUUUGGGAGUCUAUAAGCUUUUAUGCUAUUGCUCACUAACUGUUUGACAAAAUGCCUAAAUCAUGACCAGUUUGUAAUGUAUAUUUAAGUUGUGUACUAAACAACUAAUAGUUUGGAUACCUCUGAGAACCAAGUAUGGAUACAUAGGCGAAGAACUAACAAAAAACUGAUGUUAAUAUGUUUACUUCUAAUCAUCCAAAGAACAAACAACGUAGUAUACUUUUUCUGUUGCCGAAUUUUGGCUUGGUUGUGCUAUUCUUUAGUUUUGCUUC